CGUAAUCGCCGUGCGUCGCCUCCACCUUAACCGCACGCUCCAGUUGCCUCUUGGCAGCAGGACUGGGCACCCGUGAGGUGCCACUCCGUUGUGGAAAAGGAACAGCCGUUAAGACCCAUCGGAAAGUGAGGGAAGCAGGCGGACGAUAGACUAGUCCAUUCUGGGGCAGUGGCACAUCCAUGCACAAAGUCGACGAGCUACACUGGGUAUAAGGGAGCUUCCCUUCAGUCUUCUCUAAAAGGAAAUAUUUUCAGGAUUGUUUGGUGUGGUGCACGUCCCAGCAUCUAGGAGAGAGGGUUAAUAAUAAUUCAGGCUAUACAGAGAAACCCUGUCUCAAAAAACCAAUAAUAAUAAUUCAGGCUGGAGGCCUACGCGUAUGUGAGCUUAAGGAUGGUCUGCGAACCUCACAACAGUUAACUUGUGUUCACAGUGGAAACAAAAGAACAAUUCAGGAACAGCCCAUGACCAAAUUCCUUAAUAACCUUUAAAAAUAAUAACUUCAGUGUUCUUGCUAAGACCAUGAAGUGUGACUGUGGUAUGCGUCCUCUUUGGAGCACCUGUCAACUCCCAUGCUUUAAAAAAAAAAAAAAUCACAUAGUAAACUCCAACUUUGAAUCAUAGUGGCUGCCUCUGAGGAGGUCUUCAUGAUAGACUUGUCUUGUCAUUUCUGGAAUCCAAGUUUCAGGCAGGAUGAUAUUGUUGCCAGAGUUGGUCUCACAGAAUCUUCAGCACUCUAAGUCGAGCAUAAGCUACUGAGAAUUCGUUGAGCUCUACAUUUGUACGUCUGGGCAAAGACCUUAUGUGAAGUCGUUUAUUUGGAGGUAUCAGAUAAUCUACUGAGAAAGUGGAAAGCCAGGAGUACAACCUCAGCCAACAGUGACAUCUGAGGGAAGGAAGACAAGGAGAGAGCAAAAUGACUGAGGGCAAGCAGCUAGAAGGGAGAGAACGAAAAUCAGGAGUUACGAGAGGGAGUGAUCAAAUCCUUCGAAGCCACAGAUAUGCCUUCCUGUUACUAGAUCCUGACAGUCCUAUAAAAAAGCCAUGGAUGUAAUCCCAGUGAGCAAUACAGUAAUUAUCCCAAGAUCAG
rnacentral:lncRNA from 1 species